GCUGAGGCUCGGCCAGCCUGUCACCUCCCUGAAGCCCCACAUGAGGGAGCAGCAGGGUUGGCAGUUCAAGGAGCAACGUGUUCACGCCGCAGGAGCUGUGCUGUGCCCAGGCCUGGGACGCAGAGCGUCAGGACAGCCGUCAGGACAGAGCUCACGGGCAUAGGUCUGCCCCCAACCCCGGCCUGGGAGUUAGCCCCGCCUGGAUUCGAGCCCCUCACCUCGGCCAGAGCCCAUCCCCACCCCGGCCCACCUGCCCCCACUUCCCUCCAUCUGCUCAGGGAACUCCCGGCAGGCUCCCGCCCACACAGCCCCCAGGCCCCACCUCCCACCAGGACCCAGCCCUGUAAUCCGAGUUAUUUUUAGCCAAGCCGCAUCCUCCAGGAGAAGCAAAUGGAGGGGAAGCCGCCCCCACGCCGCCAGGAGCUGCUGGCGGAAAAGAUCGAUUAAAACCAGUGCUGUGAGGGCCCUGUGCCAGGCGGGCAGCGGCGCUGAGACCGGCUGAGCCGGCUGUGGGCCUGGCUUCGUGCAGCCGCCCUGGGCAGCUGCUCCUAGCCUGCCCUCUCCUGGCCCUGGCCCUGUGUCCCCACUUCCCUCCCCCUGUGGGCAGCCUCCGUGUGUCCAGGGGAGGAUGGGGGGCAGGGAAGGACCCCCUUAUUGCCCACCUGGACUUCUGGCUGGCCACGCCCUCUCCCAGAGACCACGGGCCAGGCCUCAGGAAGUGCUUGGCAUGAAUGGGUGGUGCCUCACCACAACGUGCGUGGAGCAGGUAGGGCCCUCACCCCUGCGUGGAGGACAGAGGAGCCAUGUGGGCGGUUACUACUGUCAACACAGGAAGAGAUGACAGAAUCACUGCCUACAUUCUCCAGGCUGCACUACCGUCCCCACGACCACCUUACACUACGGCUGAGAAUUUUUGUGCCCCUUUAUCCCCCUCGCCCUCCCACGCGCCCCAACCCCUCCCCCACGGCUCUGCUUUCUCUGUCCUGAAUCCUCUCCAGGGGAAGACACUCCCCAACCCCGCUGCACCGUCAGGAGCUCAGAACCGAGGGGACCCCACCUGCCCAGAGAACCUGGCGGGAAGGGGCAGCCGGGGCCUGGGCCACAGUCACGCAGGCUUGGGAUGUGAGGUCGGGAGGCGAGGUCUGGGAGGCGCAGAGGGCCCGACGUUCGGGCGCCCCCUGCCGGCGCCGCGCCGCGCCAUCGGCGGUCUCAUGCUGCCCCCAUGUGGACGACAGGCUCACGUCCCCGCUGGGCCAGGGGCUCCCAGGGGAAAAUCACUGGCCUGGGCUGUUGAGGGCCUAGCCAGUGACCUGAGGAACGGGCUGCCCUGCCAAGCCUCUGCCCGAACUGUCCUCUCUUCCCAACACACCCUGAGCCCCAGCCUGGCACCGCAUGCUGCCCACUGCCUUUCUCGCACCCACGAGCUUUGAAUCCCAGACUCUUGGAAGGAAGUGAACCUGCUAGUUGCAUAUUUGCCAAUCCUCCAUCCCAUAUUUCAACCUCUAUCCCCAGUAAAUCAACUGCUGCUUGCAUGCACCUCAUAGCAGGGCGCUCACUACCUCUGGAGCAGCCCAUCGGUUUGGAGGAAAUUCUGAUUGUAUAAAUGACACGUUUUAUAAAUGACAGCCAUCAUCUCUGCCUUCUGGGGCCACAAAGAACCAGGUGGCCUCUCACAUGGGAAUUCCGAUGCCAGUCCAACGCCCAGCCCAGUGCUGAAGGGCCUCCUCCUCUGCCCCGGACCUUCUCUCCUACUGUCUCCUUCGCUCACAGCCGCCCCUGCCUGGCACACUGGAGGACCCUGUCUCUCUGAACUUCACGACUGAGGGGCCCCAGCACCCCUGAGGACUGGCACUGGCCCUCCCUUGGAUCCUGUCAUUUUUUACAGUCACCUGUCACUCCCGAGGCCUCCUGGAGAAAAAGCUCAGAGGGACUAAUGACUGAGCACCUAAGGUGUACUCAGCGUAGUUCAGCUUUGCUCAUAUUAACCAGUUUAACCCCACAAGGCAACUAGUACUUUGAUCCCCAGUUACACUGAGCACUGAGGCUUAGAGCACAAAGAUCUGGACCCCAUAGAAGAGCUGACUCCUGUCUCUGUGAAACCCCUCCAGGCCGACUGGCUGCUCACCCACCAACUCUGCCUUCUGCCUGUGAAAUGCAUACACUUAAUUUCUCAAACAUUUCUCAGGUCCUCCCAUGCACCAGGGACUGUGCCAGACGCAACUGUGUCCGACCCUGUUACUUAGCUGGGUAGGCCCCACUGGGUCUCACUUGGGCUGGGGCUCUGGACAAGGCUGGGCCAAGACAAUGCUGCCGAAGGCCUUGGGGCUCUGGCAGAUCCCACCCCGCCUGGCCUGGUCUGAGGUGGGUCUGCUCACUGAAGCCUCACGUCUCUCCCUGCCUUGCGGUUCAAGGCAUAUGGGAGGGACACGGUUGAUGGACACACUGUUGAGCCUGGCUAGCAGCGUCUGCCCAGGGCUCUGCCGCAGAGGACAUCCACGUGGGCUCGAGCUGCUCCCUCACGGAGCGUGGCUGUCUGGGUCCUGGAGGAAGGGUUGAACUCUUCACCGCUUUUGUGUCGAGGACUCCUUUGACAUCUGGUGAUGUUUACUGACUUCUUCUCAGAAUAAUGUUUUUAAGUGUGCAAAAUAAAAUUA